rnacentral:rRNA from 1 species
UACGGGGGGGGCAAGCGUUGUUCGGAAUUACUGGGCGUAAAGGGCUCGUAGGUGGCCAACUAAGUCGGACGUGAAAUCCCUCGGCUUAACCGGGGAACUGCGUCCGAUACUGGUUGGCUUGAGUUUGGGAGAGGGAUGCGGAAUUCCAGGUGUAGCGGUGAAAUGCGUAGAUAUGUCACAGAACACCGAUCGCGAAGGCAGCUAACUGAACUAUCACUGACACUGAUGCACGAAAGCGUGGGGAGCAAACAGG